UACGAAGGGGGCUAGCGUUGCUCGGAAUCACUGGGCGUAAAGGGUGCGUAGGCGGGUCUUUAAGUCAGGGGUGAAAUCCUGGAGCUCAACUCCAGAACUGCCUUUGAUACUGGGAGACUUGGAGUCCGGGAGAGGUGAGUGGAACUGCGAGUGUAGAGGUGAAAUUCGUAGAUAUUCGCAAGAACACCAGUGGCGAAGGCGGCUCACUGGCCCGGUACUGACGCUGAGGUGCGAAAGCGUGGGAGCAACAGGG
rnacentral:rRNA from 1 species